rnacentral:lncRNA from 13 species
AGUUUUUCUCUUUGAAUUCACAGCCCUUGAAGAGUUCUGUAAGUCUGGUUUGCCACAGAAUAAAGGCCAUCUUAACUAUCUAAGAUUUAAGACCUUUUCAAUGCAACAUCAUCAUACAAUUGACCAUGGCAGACACCUCUGGACCCCACGUUUACCUCUUGGUCUACCUCUGCUUUUAGCUGCUGCUAUGCUUCCAGGUAAGAUUGGGCCAAUAUCCAGUCAAGAAGCCCCAAAACUAGGGAAAUCCCCCACCAGUCUAAUCACAAGUUACGGAGCAGUUGGAGGAGAUAAAGAAAACUGCAACCUAAGGCAGACCACAGAGGUACACUUUCUCUUUUCUUCUCAUCCUAUGAAAUUCCAACUGGGCUUUGAUUCACAAAGUUACCCAGUAUUCAAGUACUCCCUGACCCGCAUCAGCUGAGCAAACACUUUAAUUUAUAUUUGAAACACUUAAACAUUUUAUUCCUUGGCAAAUAUUUUUUUUUAAACAGAUGACACCAGACUGAGAAGUUUGUUUGAUUAGAAAGGGUAAGGCUUAGAAGACAUGGUCCAAAUGCAGAGAGCAAAACAAAGAUACUGACAAAUUGCUUUAUUAAGAAAUUAAGAGGAUUUUAGAAGAUUAUAGAUAAACCAAGAAGAGGCGUUCAGAAAAGAAAGAAAAUGUGGCUGCUGUCUGUAAAAAAAAUAGGACUAUGAAUAUGUCUGAUUGUGGAAUGAGUAAAGAAGUUUUAGGAAUAUGAUGUCUUAUAUUAAGUCAUAAAGCAUUCACAUUGUAGUGAUGUAACCCCACUUCACUCUACCUGAACCUUGAGUCCAGUCAGACACUUAAAUGAAUGUAAGUGAUUCAAAGAAUGAGGACUGAAUUUGUUUUUUGUGAUUGUGUUAAAUUUAUAGAUCAAGUCGGGAAGAAUGACGUGUUGGCAAUAUUAAGUCUUUCAAUGAAAUCUUUACAAAUUUUACAUCUUAAAAGAAAAACAUCCAUUUUGUCACCAGCAACUAUGAUGUUAUUUGUACAGGUUUUGUAGAUGUUCUCUGUCAAGUUGAGGAAGUUCUUCUCUUUGCUGAAAAUUUUUAUUGCGAAUUGGUGUUGGAUUUUGUCAGAUGUUUUUUCUGUAUCAAUUGAAAUGUUCAUAUGAUGUUUUUUCUUACAC